rnacentral:rRNA from 1 species
GAUGAACGCUGGCGGCGUGCCUAAUACAUGCAAGUCGAGCGAACAGACGAGGAGCUUGCUCCUCUGACGUUAGCGGCGGACGGGUGAGUAACACGUGGAUAACCUACCUAUAAGACUGGGAUAACUUCGGGAAACCGGAGCUAAUACCGGAUAAUAUAUUGAACCGCAUGGUUCAAUAGUGAAAGACGGUUUUGCUGUCACUUAUAGAUGGAUCCGCGUCGCAUUAGCUAGUUGGUAAGGUAACGGCUUACCAAGGCAACGAUGCGUAGCCGACCUGAAAGGGUGAUCGGCCACACUGGAGCUGAGACACGGUCCAGACUCCUACGAGAGGCAGCAGUAGGGAAUCUUCCGCAAUGGGCGAAAGCCUGACGGAGCAACGCCGCGUGAGUGAUGAAGGUCUUCGGAUCGUAAAACUCUGUUAUUAGGGAAGAACAAAUGUGUAAGUAACUAUGCACGUCUUGACGGUACCUAAUCAGAAAGCCACGGCUAACUACGUG